UUACAGCAGUGGUUGGCAGGGAUCUCUGUAAACAAACUGUGCCAGUGGGAGAAGGAAUUAGCUUUAUGACAAGAUCAUGUGUUUACAAUGGUUGCUUCGGUUGCUACUCAACCCACGUCAGCGACGAACUGGAUCAAGACUGUAGGGAUUAUUACAAGAACGUUAACAACGUGUGGCAAAGUUAUAAGUGUUGUAUUUACACACCUGAUCAAUGCCCAAAGGUAAAAGGCCCACAUUAUCGUGACAACCCACUCAAACGCUACUUGGACACUGCAAGCCGUCAACAGCAAUACGAAGACUAGGGUCAGCGGUUCUCGCAUUUGUUCAUCACGCGAUGUCAUUUAUUGAAAACACAUGAAAACUCAGUCACACAAUUUAUAGCACUUGUGAAACUCGAAACUGUAAAGGCUUGAAAUGAAGUUACCAAAAAUCACAUUUAAAAAAAAAAAAAUUCUUUGGUAACUUAUUAUUUUCCAAUGAAUAGGUUCGAUCCUGGUUUUUAUCCUUCAUGAAUCAUUUCACAGGGUUUGUACUAUGUUAAUGCAAUGAGACACUGUUUUGAGCUAAACACAGGAAAUAAAAUAAAACUGUAAUGUGCUUGAUGUCUAA